GUGGAUUAGAUACCCUAGUAGUCCACGCCCUAAACGAUGAACACUCGAUGUUUGCGAUACACAGUAAGCGUCUAAGCGAAAGCGUUAAGUGUUCCACCUGGGGAGUACGCCCGCAAGGGUGAAACUCAAAGGAAUUGACGGGGGCCCGCACAAGCGGAGGAGCAUGUGGUUUAAUUCGAUGAUACGCGAGGAACCUUACCCGGGCUUGAAAGUUACUGAAGAUACCAGAGACGGUAUCGUCCUUCGGGACAGGAAACUAGGUGCUGCAUGGCCGUCGCCAGCU
rnacentral:rRNA from 1 species